CCAGGAGAAUUCGAGAGAGAGUUCGGUGCUCUCUGAACAGAGACACAGUGCGACCCGGCAACGUGACCCGGCCACCACGCCACUGUCCGGCCACCGAUCGCUGACGGACGACCACCCUCUGCUUCCUCUCAGUGUCGCCUACGUCCCUAUGUUCCAGAUCGUACAUGCAGCGACUGGGAACGAAGAUUCGACGAUCUAGAGCUUGAAGAACCUCCGGCGAGUUCUGCAAUUUCCGGCAAUUUCGGCCACUGUUUGGGCCAUCUGUGUUUCUGGUUGUUUCUGCCUCCGUCGCGUUUCCUCGCUGCCGGCGACUUCUCCGGCCUUCUGGGCUUCGUUUCUUGUUCAAUUGCAAGUCUAGGAGACGUAUUGUGAAGCCUUCUAGGCUGUAGCAUGAGGAACCCUCGAUUCAUCCCCUUUCCAUUCCCGGCAGUGCGUUGGGCUUGGUUGCAGAAGACUUCCGAAGGUUCUUUGUAUAUUAUUCGGAGGAUUGACAGAACAAAUGGGGGAUUUUGAGAUUUCAAACCGCUGAGUUUCUCUCUAUUUUGCUUCAAUAUCAGAAAGUUACUUGGUUUUGGUUUUAGUUGAUGGAGAGUGGAUUGCGUUAUUCUGAACAUAAGUACUCCUGUUCUCUCAUGGAUUUGAACAGUGAGGAAGGAUCUAUCAAUGGAAGUUCAGAAUUUAUGCAAGCAUCAGAGGACUGCUAAUGUACUUUAGCUAGUAUAAAUUGGUCAGAAUUUAUGUUUCUGCCAAUACGAAUUUAUACUUUUUUGGGAACUAGUUAUGUGUUUUAUUAUGACUCGGGCACUUAAAAGCUGUCUUGCCAAGGCAACUCUAGCAUUAACAGAGACUCUUACCAAAUUAGCAAACACAAAAUUACAAAGUAUUUCCAAUGGAAAUAGUUGUAGUUUAGGCA